AACGUAGGAGACAAACGUUAUCCGGAGUUACUGGGCGUAAAGGGCGUGUAGGUGGUUGCGUAAGUCUGGCGUGAAAUUUUUCGGCUUAACCGGGAAAGGUCGUCGGAUACUGCGGAACUCGAGGACGGUAGAGGCGUGUGGAAUUCCGGGUGUAGUGGUGAAAUGCGUAGAGAUCCGGAGGAACACCAGUGGCGAAGGCGACACGCUGGGCCGUACCUGACACUGAUGCGCGACAGCAUGGGGAGCAAACAGG
rnacentral:rRNA from 1 species